rnacentral:rRNA from 1 species
GACGAACGCUGGCGGCGUGCCUGACACAUGCAAGUCGGACGGUUCUUGCACCUUCAAGCUUGCUUGCUGGUGCAAGGAUAGUGGCGGACGGGUGAGUAACGCGUGAACAUCUACCCAUUGGAGGGGGACAACCCGUCGAAAGGCGGGCUAAUACCGCGUAAGCCGCGAGGUGAGAGGCUGCCUAUUGGUGGCCGCCGAUGGAUGGGUUCGCGUCCUAUCAGCUGGUUGGUGGGGUAACGGCCUACCAAGGCGAAGACGGGUAGCCGGUCCGAGAGGAUGGCCGGCCACACUGGAACUGAGACACGGUCCAGACUCCUACGGGAGGCAGCAGUGGGGAAUAUUGGGCAAUGGGGGUAACCCUGACCCAGCGACGCCGCGUGAGGGACGAAGGUUUUCGGAUCGUAAACCUCUGUUGUACGGGAAGAAGGAAUUGACGGUACCGUACGAGAAAGCCCCGGCAAACUACGUG